AAUCAGCUGAAACUCUCGAGUCUUGUUUUUUUUUUUUUACUAUAGAAAGUUUUUUUUUCAACUGUUAUUAAAUUUAUUUUUAUCUAAAUAAAGCUUCAACUUCUUAGGUCAAUAUCCUGUAAUAAUUAUAUGAUAAUAAUACUAAGCCUAUGUUUGUGAACAAUUUCUAUGUAUUUUUGGAGUUCUCAUCGCCAAGUGCUUGUUGCAGAGAAUUUGUUUAGAGCUGUUGAACUUUGGACAUUCUAGUGUGAUAUGUUUGAUUGUCAGCACUUUGUCACAGAGUUCACAAGUCGGGUGGUCUUCCUUAGUUAUUAUAGCAGUACAUCAGAUUAAACACGUCAUGCUGUGACAUGAAUUUACAUUUCUAACACCUUGGAAAACAUCAACAUCCUACGUUGAAAACGAACUAGAACAUGCUGAUAAUAUAAAGGUUUUAUGCAAUGUACGUGGAAUGGUUGUCGAAUGUAAUUUAUAGUCAAUCAAUUGUAGUGUAAUUAAAAAUGCAGUUUAGCAGAUCUCUCAAAGGAUACCGAGUCAUGAAGUCGCAUUCAUACUACCUACUUGGGUAAAGUAUCAACAUUCUUAGUUGAAAAUGGACUUGAAUAUACUGAUUCUAAAAAUUGAUUUAUGUUAUAUACGUGGAAUGGUUAUUAAAUGGAAUUGAUUGUAAAUUAAUAUUAUUGAAACAAUUGAAAUAUGUUAAAAAUCUAAAUAAAAGUUUGGUUAACACCUUA